CCUACGGGGGGCAGCAGUGGGGAAUAUUGGGCAAUGGGGGAAACCCUGAUGCAGCGACGCCGCGUGAGGGACGAAGUAUUUCGGUACGUAAACUUCUAUCAGCAGGGAAGAAAAUGACGGUACCUGACCAAGAAGCCCCGGCUAACUACGUGCCAGCAGCCGCGGUAAUACGUAGGGGGCAAGCGUUAUCCGGAUUUACUGGGUGUAAAGGGAGCGUAGACGGCAAGGCAAGUCUGAUGUGAAAGCCCAGGGCUGAACCAUGGGACUGCCUUGGAAACUGUGCGGCUGGAGUGUCGGAGAGGCAAGUGGAAUGCCUAGUGUAGCGGUGAAAUGCGUAGAUAUUAGGAGGAACACCAGUGGCGAAGGCGGCUUGCUGGACGAUGACUGACGUUGAGGCACGAAAGCGUGGGGAGCGAACAGGAUUAGAUACCCUAGUAGUC
rnacentral:rRNA from 1 species